rnacentral:snRNA from 1 species
AGAUUUGAGUUGUAUAUAAGAGA